AUGAACGCUGGCGGCGUGCCUAAUACAUGCAAGUCGAGCGAACAGAUGAGAAGCUUGCUCCUCUGACGUUAGCGGCGGACGGGUGAGUAACACGUGGAUAACCUACCUAUAAGACUGGGAUAACUUCGGGAAACCGGAGCUAAUACCGGAUAAUAUAUUGAACCGCAUGGUUCAAUAGUGAAAGACGGUCUUGCUGUCACUUAUAGAUGGAUCCGCGCCGCAUUAGCUAGUUGGUAAGGUAACGGCUUACCAAGGCAACGAUGCGUAGCCGACCUGAGAGGGUGAUCGGCCACACUGGAACUGAGACACGGUCCAGACUCCUACGGGAGGCAGCAGUAGGGAAUCUUCCGCAAUGGGCGAAAGCCUGACGGAGCAACGCCGCGUGAGUGAUGAAGGUCUUCGGAUCGUAAAACUCUGUUAUUAGGGAAGAACAAAUGUGUAAGUAACUAUGCACGUCUUGACGGUACCUAAUCAGAAAGCCACGGCUAACUACGUG
rnacentral:rRNA from 1 species